GGGCUGCAGUAUUUUGACUGUACAAAGGUAGCAUAAUCAUUAGUCUCUUAAUUGGUGACUUGUAUGAAAGAUUGGAUGAGAUAUAUACUGUCUCUGAUUAAUUUGUAGAAAUUAAUUUUUUAGUAAAAAAGCUAAAAUAAUUUUAAAAGACGAGAAGACCCUAUAGAGUUUAAUAAUUUGUUUAAUUGUUGUUAAUAUAUAUAAUUUUUAAAAUUAAAAUUGAAUAAAUUAUUUUGUUGGGGUGACAAAAAAAUUAAAUUAACUUUUUUUAAUUGUUUACAUUAAUUUAUGAGUAAAUGAUCCAUUUAUAAUGAUUAGAAGAAAAAAUUACCUUAGGGAUAACAGCGUAAUUUUUUUUUUUAGUUCAAAUAGGAAGAAAAGUUUGCGACCUCGAUGUUGGAUUAA
rnacentral:rRNA from 1 species